rnacentral:rRNA from 2 species
ACCUCAGCGUGAGUGAGCAUUUCUCUCUUGUCGAUGAAGAACGCAGCGAAAUGCGAUAAGUAAUGUGAAUUGCAGAAUUCAGUGAAUCAUCGAAUCUUUGAACGCACAUUGCGCCCGCCAGCAUUCUGGCGGGCAUGCCUGUUCGAGCGUCA